rnacentral:rRNA from 1 species
GGCCAGACUCCUACGGGAGGCAGCAGUGAGGAAUAUUGGUCAAUGGGCUAAGGCCUGAACCAGCCAAGUCGCGUGAGGGAAGACGGUCCUAUGGAUUGUAAACCUCUUUUGUCGGGGAGCAACGAGGCCACGUGUGGCCGAAGUGAGAGUACCCGAAGAAAAAGCAUCGGCUAACUCCGUGCCAGCAGCCGCGGUAAUACGGAGGAUGCGAGCGUUAUCCGGAUUUAUUGGGUUUAAAGGGUGCGUAGGCGGGAUGCCAAGUCAGCGGUAAAAAUGCGGUGCUCAACGCCGUCGAGCCGUUGAAACUGGCGUUCUUGAGUGGGCGAGAAGUAUGCGGAAUGCGUGGUGUAGCGGUGAAAUGCAUAGAUAUCACGCAGAACUCCGAUUGCGAAGGCAGCAUACCGGCGCCCUACUGACGCUGAGGCACGAAAGCGUGGGUAUCGAACAGGAUUAGAUACCCCGGUACA